AGCAAAUAGCAACCACAUUACAGAUUAACAAACAUUGGGGUUCCGAAUGCAUCCUUUCCAUUGUCCCCCUCGAAUAAUUACCACAAUAAACAUUUUGCAAUGGCAUUCUCCAUCCUUGCCAACUCAAGCACAAGACAUAAUCACUUCAGCUCCUCACACCUCUGUCAGAACAGCACGAAUGUAGCUUUCACCCAUAACACAUUUCAUAUAUUUAUGAAAAUGCAGCAGCAUCAAGAUUUCAAGUCAAACAUUCCACAAUUCAACACCAUUUGCAGAUAACCAAAGAGUUGAUCCUUUUCGCCCCCCACCCGCUAUAGAAAACACAACAGAAAAAGAUCAUCCUAUUCGACUCAUAGGCGCAACGUGCAAGAAGAACUGUGAAAAAGAAAAUUUUGGUCACUUCAAAGCCGGUGGUCCAGCAACACGAGUAAUCAAGCAGAUAAAUAUGCAACCACCCCUAAAUUCUUCACAACAGUAGAGCAAACGGAUACGAAACAACUUAGUAAGGAGGACGAGAGCGAUACCUCUCGCGCCGUUGCUCGGGAGUCAAACCGUCGCCUUUGGGCUGCUUGCCCUUGUUGCCGCUCCUGGCUUGAGCCCUCUCGCGAUCUCGCUCUCUCUGGUUACCGCGUUCGCUUCAAGUUAAGUCAAACGUACGCACUCGAGAAAAGAAACAGAAUUAUCGAAUCCAAAACCAUCGAUCUUCCUAGUUGCAUUCCGACAACGCCAUUCGGCGGAAAUUAGGAAGCUCGUAACGAUCUUCCGACAGAUUAAACCGGCAACCAGUCCCAAAAAAAAGAAAAAUCCAGAGAAAGAAUUCACAAUAAGAAACGGAAAGAAGAAGAUGAAAAAGAUCCUCAUUGGUCAAGCGGAAAGAAGAUUCCCAUCGAAGGAUAUGAGUCAUCCUCAGCCGAUCUCGGUAAGACAAAUCGUCCCGAA